rnacentral:rRNA from 1 species
UACAGAGGGUGCGAGCGUUAAUCGGAAUUACUGGGCGUAAAGCGCGCGUAGGCGGCUUUGCAAGUCGGAUGUGAAAUCCCCAGGCUUAACCUGGGAACUGCAUUCGAGACUGCAUUGCUAGAGUAUGGGAGAGGGAAGUGGAAUUUCCGGUGUAGCGGUGAAAUUCGUAGAUAUUAGGAAGAACACCGGUGGCGAAGGCGGCCCACUGGAUCGGUACUGACGCUGAGGUGCGAAAGCGUGGGGAGCAAACAGG